rnacentral:misc_RNA from 1 species
UAACGGGAACCCUCGGACACCCUCAGUGAAAUGCUCGCAAUUUGAUCAAGUUUGAUGCUGUUUAUCACAUUUUUAGUGCAUAGAGAAUAGUUUGACAAGCAUCAGCUCUCCUGCCGCACGUCUAAAGACUCCGCCGUCAGCCAAUGGCCCGCGUGGACCGCGGCGCAGGCAUCGGCAACCGCGGCCACGGCAUUGAGCUCGACGAGAACGCCUCGGACGAGUCCGACUUUUUCCUGGUGCAGACCGGACGCGGCGACAGCACCAUUCACAAGAUUCGGCCGGCCGGCUUCGCCACGGUGCCGGCCGGCGGCGCGCCGCUCAGGGAGGCGCUGCCGCACCCGGGCCGCAACAGCUCGCCCUCCUUCUCCAACACGGGCACGGUGCCGGCAGCGCCGCCGCCGCCCUCCAGCGUCACCCGGAAACGGAAAAUCGAAAAGGAGGAGAAGGACAGUGCCGAGCGCGAGGGUCGCAAGACGCGCACCGACCAGCACCACGGCGGCGCCGGCCACGGCGUGCCGAUGGUGUUCGAAAAACAGUAUCUGCGCGUCGAGCACUCGCCUGUCGACGGGGACAAGAUCGCGCACUGGCAGGGCGGCGCAGAUGUGGACCAGGGCCUGGCCGCCGACUUCGACGACUCCCUCUCCGGCCUGGGCGUCAACCUGUCGUCCACCACGUACAACAUGAGCGAGGCUCUGCUGGCGCUGCCCAACAUAUCAAACAUGUCCACACUGCUCAAGAAUGAGGCCGCUUCAUUGCCAUCCGAUUCAAACUCGCUGCACCAGAACAUCGGCGAGACGCUGUCGCCGUCGCUGCUGACGGACGUCUCCAGCGCCGAGGACAUCGCCGGCGGCGACGGCGCCUCGCCCGGCCGCCCGGCCGCCGCCGUGGUCGUCGCCGACUCCCAGAAGCGUCAGCAUCACAGGUUUCAGUACGUCCUGAACGCGGCCACCUCGAUCGCCACCAAGGUCAACGAAGAGACGCUGACCUACCUCAACCAGGGACAGAGCUACGAAAUCCGCAUCAAAAAGCUGGGUGACCUCACCUCCUGCAGCGACGCCAUUUUUCGGACAAAGUUGAAGCUGUGUUUCCAUGAGCGGCGACUGCAAUACAUCGAGAAGGAGCAGCUGGACGCGUGGAGGACCUCUCGGCCCGGCGACCGGCUGCUCGAGGUCGACCUGCCCCUGUCCUACGGCAUUUUUGACGUGCGGCAGGAUCGGAACCAGCUCAACUGCUGCGAGUUCCUCUGGAGCCCCAACAAGGACGUGGGUGUCUACGUCAAGGUCCAUUCUGUGAGUACAGAGUUCACGCCCAAGAAGCAUGGUGGCGAGAAGGGCGUACCGUUCCGGAUUCAGGCCGAGACCUACAGCGGCGCCGACUCUUUCGGCGCCCUGCUGCACUGCGCCGCCUCGCAGGUCAAAGUGUUCAAGCUCAAGGGCGCCGACCGCAAGCACAAACAGGACCGUGAGCGGUUCAUGAAGCGGCCCGCCUCCGAGAUGGGCAAGUACCAGCCGUCCUACGACUGCACGGUGCUGACGGAGAUGCCUGUGGAGCUGGUGUACAGUCCGCAGCUGCCGCCCACCUCGGCCGGCCCGAGCAAGGCGCCGCCGCCGGCGCCGGCGCCGGCGGUGUCCUCCGCCCGGCUGCCCAACGUGUCGCCGCCGCCGCCGGCCGUCUCUGUGGCCGCCGCCGUCACGCCCGCCGCCUGCGCGGAGGUCGAGUACAAGCAGCAGUGGUCCCAGCCCAGCUCCAGCCCCACCGACAGCAUGAACGAGGACGAGGGCCCCCAGAGGAGCGGCGCCGCCGGCACGGAGGUGCCCAUGUCGGACGUGCUGUCGGCGCGCGCUACCGCCGAGCAGACGCACGCUUGGCUGCAGCGGCGCCGGUUCGGGCCGCACGCCACCGCUCUCUGCAACUUCACCGGCGCCGACCUGAUGCGGCUCUCGCGCGACGACGUGGUGCAGCUGUGCGGCCUGGCCGACGGUGUGCGGCUCUACAACAGCCUGCACAACAAGCUGAUCGUGCCGCGGCUGACGGUGUACGUGUGCGUGCCGCCGGCGCCGCUCUACCACGCCUUCUACCUGUACCAGACCACCCACUCGGAGAUCAGCCGCAAGCUGGCUGCCCUGCUGGGCUGCAGCUCGUCCCAGCUGCGCCAGGUGUGCGUCGAGGGGCCGGGCGGCGUGCCCGUGCUGAUGACAGACGAGGUGGUGAGGCAUCUUCAGAACGAAUCUCUGUAUAUGAUUGAAACUAUACCCGUGUCUCAGGAGAGCAGCGACCGGCUGGACCUGGUGCUGCACCGAACUGUGACGCGCAGUCCGCCGCCCAGCACCGGCGGCGGCGGCGGCGGUGGACCCUCUGCCGCCAGCUCGCCUCUCAGCAGGCAAUAACUGGCGCACGGCGGGCUGGCCCCCGCACACAAACACAAACACGUACACACACUCACACAUUGCUGCUGGCGGAGCGUCCCGGCGUCCCGGCGCGGCGCGUCUCACCGUCUGUCUGUCCGCGCUGCGCGGCACACCGGAUAGUGAAGACCAGGGAGGUGGGGCCGCACUGUGGCCGCCUACUGGAGGAGCAGACACCUAUUUUGAACCGUGACACGGGUCGGAAGCAGGUACCGGAAUGAGCGAGAGGCGACUCACAGUACCCUGACGUCAGAUGAACCGGUUAAAGGGAACUAGUCACUCAAAAGGAAGGAAUCUUAGUUGAGCGAACAUCGUUGCAUUUACUUUGGUGAAUCCCCAUUUUGAAAGAAAUGUAUUUUCUUUUCUAUCUGAAACACAUUUUUGAGUUAGAGUAGCGAAGCAGCGCGGGUCCAACUAUUGGUAUAUCAGAGCUACUAGCGACGAGUUUCACUAGAGCGUUGGGCUUUGCUUGCCUUACGUACGCCUCUGGAGCGCCGCAGGCCAGAGCUGACCCCGGCUGGUCUCAUUCCGUGCCGUAUUAAUCUAGUGUCGACAGUGGAUUGACCGAUUGCGAGCUGUGUCCUCGACUGUGACUGGAUAAAAACAUCAUCAUUGAUAGCAUUGUGCAUGUCGCAGUUAUGAAAAUACAUUGUCGAUUAAUGUAGCUUCAGAGUUCAGACGCGGUCAUUUGGCGGCAUCAGUUCAUUAUACAGAAUUUCAUGUAGUUUGCAUCAUGGACGUGAUCCUGAGAUAGUGACUAGUUUCCUUUAACUCUGGGGGCUGGCGUCGUUGCUUGGCUGCAGAGCUACUGAUGUAUGAAUACAGUCUUGGGUGGCUAGCUUCUGAUAUCGGCUAGCACCGGUCUGGAGGCGGCUAGCACCGGUGUUCAGACAGCUGGUGUCAGCCUGAGGGCGGUCAGCGGUGGUCUGAGAACGGCUGGUGUCAGCCUGAGGGCGGUCAGCGGUGGUCUGAGAACGGCUGGCGUCAUCCCGAGGGCGGCUGGCGUCAGCCUGAGACAGCAGCUGGCGUCAUCCCGAGGGCGGCUGACGCCAUCCUGGGACAGCAGCUGGCGUCAGCCCGAGGGCGGCUGGUGUCAGCCCGAGGGCGGCUGGUGUCAUCCCGAGGGCGGUCGGCGGUGGCGGGUCUGUCCCGGGGCAGAGGCGACCGGCGCAGUCCCGGGGCAGAGGCGACCGGCGCAGUCCCGGGCGCGCGCACCAGGCAGCGGUGUGCCGUGGGACGCGGCGGCAGGGGAGGCGGCUCGCUCGCACCGGGGGGACGGGGAGAUCGGGGUGCCGUGGAGCACCCCUGGCUGUGUGGUUGCGAGGCUGUUGGGUGUGCGCGGGCGGUCCAGUCUGCCGGGUGCGGAGUGGACCGGCCGUGAGAGCUCCGGCGCGCCUACACAGGGCCAUACCGGUCGUCUGAGUAUCCCAGGUGACUUCAGUGUGUGUGUGAAAUCAUAUACGUACGAUGUUUGAUGGUGCAGUGUUUGUGUGUGCGAGUGUGGAACAGCGGUUCAUCCGUUUCAUCGGUUCGGCUCACCAACACCGUGUUAGUCGAAAAUGUCAAAACUUGCAGUACAAACAGAGUUUGCGGAAAAAAACGCAACUGCCUACAAAAAGAUACGUUCUUCAAAUAUUUCGCAAUUUGAUGCUAUUUUAGCAGCCUGAGCCAUCGCUUAGUUUUAGGUGUGCUGAUGCUUUGUCAUGUUUGAUGUCAGUAAACGUUCAAAACGAUUGUUGGUAUAUGUUGCCCUUGUCAGGUAGUUUGUAACCGUUGGGGUUUUCGGCAUGCUAGUAUACAUAAUUUUGAUUUGAGUAUUGUUAUACUCGGUAUUUAGCAGUUAAGAUAUGGCUCCAUCGAGGCUUACUUCACGUCAAAAUUGUGAGGAUCGGUUAUUUCAUCCUUGCAAUUUUAUAUCGUGAAGUUGGCUUCGGCUUUCCUGUAUCGUCGCGAAUGUUGCGCUUCAUGUCGUGUGCCAUAUGUUCUGUGCAGAGAUUACUUAUUGGCGUUUUCGUGUUUCGGAUCUCGCGAGCCGGACUCACUCGAAACAGAUUCAUGACGCCGCUUUGACCAACUCGCGGACCCAAUCUACAAAGCGAUUGAAGACUUGUCAGAAUCAUGGCGCCCACUAAGCCCCUCGGGGAAUACAGAUUGAGUGUUUCA